rnacentral:ncRNA from 1 species
CACCACGUUGAUAGGCUGGGUGUGCAAGCGCGGUGACGCGUUGAGCUUACCAGUACUAAUCGCUCGAUUGAACUUGAUCGCUCUUGUGAUCCAUGUCCGUGACUUGGUUCGGCAGCCGCAAGGCUGGCAAAGCCAAACGGACCGGUCAGAGCAAACGAAAAGACAACACUGCUUGCCGAACGCCCUGUCCUGCGCCGGUCUGGUGGUUUGAGCGGUGUGCCCAGAACCCGAUCCCAUCUCGAACUCGGCCGUUAAACACACCAGCGCCCCGCAGUGCAGCGUAGCUACGUAUGGACGGGAAACCGCUGAAGGCAUCUAAGCGGGAAACCCACCUCGAAACGAGUACUCCCUUGAGAGCCGUGGAAGACCACCACGUUGAUAGGCUGGGUGUGCAAGCGCGGUGACGCGUUGAGCUUACCAGUACUAAUCGCUCGAUUGAACUUGAUCGC